AUUGAACGCUGGCGGCAUGCCUUACACAUGCAAGUCGAACGGUAACAGGUUAAGCUGACGAGUGGCGAACGGGUGAGUAAUGUAUCGGAACGUGCCCAGUCGUGGGGGAUAACUGCUCGAAAGAGCAGCUAAUACCGCAUACGACCUGAGGGUGAAAGCGGGGGAUCGCAAGACCUCGCGCGAUUGGAGCGGCCGAUAUCAGAUUGGGUAGUUGGUGGGGUAAAGGCCUACCAAGCCUACGAUCUGUAGCUGGUCCGAGAGGACGACCAGCCACACUGGGACUGAGAAACGGCCCAGACACGUACGGGAGGCAGCAGUGGGGAAGUUUGGACAAUGGACGCAAGUCUGAUCCAGCCAGGCCGCGUGCGGGAAGAAGGCCUUCGGGUUGUAAACCGCUUUUGUCAGGGAAGAAAAGGUUCUGGUUAAUACCUGGGACUCAUGACGGUACCUGAAGAAUAAGCACCGGCUAACUACGUGCCAGCCGCCGCCGUAAAAC
rnacentral:rRNA from 1 species